rnacentral:rRNA from 1 species
UACAGAGGUGCCAAGCGUUAGGCGGAAUCACUGGGCUUAAAGCGCGUGUAGGUGGGUCGUUAAGUGUCCGCGUGAAAUCCCACGGCUCAACCGUGGAACUGCCGGGCAUACUGGCGAUCUUGAGGCAUUCAGGGGCGAGCGGAACAAAUGGUGGAGCGGUAAAAUGUGUAGAUAUAUGGAAGAACACCAAUAACGGCGAAGGCAGUUAACUAUUCUGUUACUGACAUUGAGGCACGAAAGCGUGGGGAGCAAAACGG